rnacentral:snoRNA from 1 species
GCCGAGCGGUGAUGAUGACGACAUGAUGUCGCUUUCACUGAACAAGCCUGAUGCUUUUAAGUCACUACCUCUUCUGAGCUCGUG